CCAAGAAUGAGACAAGGCUCUGUUUUGAGGGUCAAGCAGUGAACAGACAUAGCUGUGGGUUUAUUGUUCUUAUGUACACAUUCUUACACAUUAGUACCACCCACAGGGUUUUGGAAAACAACCAAUAAACACGUACAAUACACUCAGACACUCCCACACAAAAUUACCUUUCACAAUGGGUGAUGUAAUUAUCACAGCCAGAGAAAUACAGUUUUUCCACAUUAUUCAUAACUUGAAAAGUAUG